AAUCAUUUUCUAAAACAAAAAAACACCUUUACAUAGAAAAAAAUUGAAAUACGGCCCAAAAUCUAAAAUCUUUUGAGUAAAAAAAAUCUUUCAAGGUCAAUAAAUUUUUAAUGAUUACCGAUAUCGGAUUAAAAAAAAUAUAUUUAAAAAGGCGCAUUAAUACAGAUUCCAAAAAUAUAAGUAACAUUGCAAAUAUUUAAGAAAAAAAUUGUUUAAAAAAAUAUAGAACACCGCGCGGCAGAGUCGUAAAAAAUUCUUAGCCAAUUAUGAACAUCAAAAACGAGUUUUAUAGGUUGCUAGUGUCCUGUAAGCUGUAACUAAUAAGGAUGGAGUUUUCAUUAGAUAUAGUAUAUCAUCAUAUCAGCUCAUAUAUGUCCCCACCGAGGGGCUCGAGCCUACCCUGCAUUAGGGUGAUCGGGCCUUAGUCGAUCACGCGAGCCCAGUGCGGGUUGUUCGACUUCACACACAAGCUUCGAGUUUCCUCGCAGCCGUGUGCAGGUUUCCUCACGAUGUUUUCCUUCACCGUAAGAGCGUCGAAUAAACGUACAUAUGAAAUCGAGAUUCGAAAACACAUUGGUAUGCGGCCAGGAUUCGAACCACGACCUCCCGCACAGGAGGUAGCGGUCUUAAGCAUUACGCCACCGACGCUUUCUAUAUAUAGUAUAUAGCUCAAUUUUAAUAAUUAUUUGAUAGAAGACAUUUUUUAUCGUGUGUAUAAGCAUAUUUAAACUUAUGGCUCAGCUGGGCACGAUUUCAAGUGACCCAAAAUCUAUAAAUAAAUUAAACAAACAGUAUAGAAUUUUACUUAAAAAUGUUUAUUAUUUACAUUGUCCCCCACAAUCGCAAAGCUCCGUGCACUUAAGUUGCCGCUGAAAGCACCGGCACC